rnacentral:rRNA from 1 species
UCUUGCCUACGGGGCGCAGCAGUGAGGAAUAUUGGUCAAUGGGCGGGAGCCUGAACCAGCCAAGUCGCGUGAGGGACGACGGUCCUAUGGAUUGUAAACCUCUUUUGCCGGGGAACAAAGGCGUCCACGGGUGGGCGGAUGAGUGUACCCGAAGAAAAAGCAUCGGCUAACUCCGUGCCAGCAGCCGCGGUAAUACGGAGGAUGCGAGCGUUAUCCGGAUUUAUUGGGUUUAAAGGUGGGU